rnacentral:rRNA from 1 species
UACGUAGGUGGCAAGCGUUGUCCGGAUUUAUUGGGUUUAAAGGGUGCGUAGGCGGUCUUUUAAGUCAGUGCUGAAAUAUCCCGGCUUAACCGGGAGGGUGGCAUUGAUACUGAAGGACUUGAGUACAGUCGAGGUAGGCGGAAUUGACGGUGUAGCGGUGAAAUGCUUAGAUAUCGUCAAGAACACCGAUAGUGUAGACAGCU